GGUAUAUCGUAAAUACCAGACCAAAAAAGCUGGCCCCGCUAAGUUGUCGUUUGUGUUAGCCAGGCUCAAAGUGAUUUGGCAAUUAGCCAACGCCAACAAUAAAUAAUGUUCGCAACUUCGUUAUAUACAACUUGAUAUUCCGCUUGAGACGUUUGCACUUCUUCGCGUUUCACUCGCAACUGAAUGGAAGCCAAACGAUCAACCAAAGUGCGACCCGAGAUACCGAGAGACGAUCAAGCUGCAGAAGUGGCUUCGUUUUUUUACGCGCACAGGUGAGAGUCAUUCGAAGUCGGCUUUCAACAACGAAACAGCAGCAGAAAGAGCAAGUCAAAGUAAGCUUGCAGCUUUUUUAACGGUUUUCUUUUGUUACACACGCUCUCCGAAGCGAUUAUCAAAGUUGUCUGCCAACAACCUAAGAGAGCAAAAGGCGAAGAGAACAGAGAAGCGAUCGUUGGGGGCUGCAUUCAAUUUAAACUGGUGUGACCAUAAAAUGAUAGUGAAUAAAUACUAGAUAAGGUGUGCAGCAAAACAAACGAACUGUUUGCUAAACGAAAAAUACCAACUAGAAAAGUAAAAUAUUU